UAAUCAUGUAGCGACUUGAACAAGGGGGGGUAAUAAUUCGGCAGGGGGUCGAAAUUUGGCACAACACCUGCAAACAGUGGGAAUACAGUAAUCCGGACAAAGCUGUGCCAAGAGAAAUCCGAAUCACCCACUGAAUCUUGCAGAGAAGGCGAACGUGAACAGGAGCAAAUUUUGACAUGUGUGACGAGUGGGGCGGGGUCGAGAGCCGUGGGAACGGAGCGAGGCCGGUGGAGUGAUUGGAAAUGAGCGACACCUGCUCGACCCACCGUUCUCGAGUCCAACAGAAGAGAUUGAAGGAUAUAAAACAGGAGUGAAGACAGUGAAGGACAAGAGAGGACCAGGCCUGAAUUUAUUUUGUGUUAUGAUUUUUUUAGUG